GAAAGUAGUUAAGGGCGUAUGGGGAAUGCCUUGGCUCUCAGAGACGAAGAAGGACGUGUUAAGCUGCGAUAAGCUACGGUGAGCUGCACAAAAGCAUUAAUCCGUAGAUUUCCGAAUGGGGCAACCCGGCUGGUUGAAGACCAGUCACCGAAAGGAGUGAACGCGGGGAACUGAAACAUCUAAGUACCCGUAGGAAGAGAAAACAAUAGUGAUUCCGUAAGUAGUGGCGAGCGAACGCGGAUUAGCCCAAACCAUAAUUGUUACGGCAGUUGUGGGGUUGUAGGACUACAGAGUGGACUAUAUAAUUGAAGUGGAAUAACGUGGGAAAGUUAUCCGUAGAAGGUGAGAGGCCUGUACACGUAAGAUUAUAUUACCUAGUAGUAUCCUGAGUAGGGCGGGACCGGAGAAAUCCCGUCUGAAUCCACCGGCACCAUCCGGUAAGGCUAAAUACUCCUGAGAGACCGAUAGUGAACCAGUACCGUGAGGGAAAGGUGAAAAGUACCCUGAAUAAGGGGGUGAAAUAGUACCUGAAACCAUACGCUUACAAGCGGUCGGAGCCCUUAAGUGGGGUGACGGCGUGCCUUUUGCAUAAUGAGCCUACGAGUUGUUGUUGUUGGCAAGGUUAAAUGAUUCAGUCAUGUAGCCGGAGCGAAAGCGAGUCUUAACAGGGCGACAUAGUCAGCAGUAGCAGACGCGAAACUUGGUGAUCUACCCAUGGGCAGGAUGAAGUGUAGGUAACACUACAUGGAGGUCCGAACCAGUUGACGUUGAAAAGUCUUUGGAUGACCUGUGGGUAGGGGUGAAAGGCCAAUCAAACCGAGAGAUAGCUCGUACUCCCCGAAAUGCUUUUAGGAGCAGCGUGGGAAGAUGUUUACUAGAGGUAGAGCUACCGAUUGGACUAGGGGGAGUCAAAUCCUACCAAAUCCAGACGAACUCCGAAUGCUAGUAAAUUAUUCCUGCAGUGAGGGUUGGGGUGCUAAGGUCCCAAUCCGAGAGGGAAAGAACCCAGACCUACAGCUAAGGUCCCAAAAUCUAUGCUAAGUUGAACUAAGGAGGUCCAGUUGCUUAGACAGCCAGGAUGUUGGCUUGGAAGCAGCCAUUCAUUUAAAGAGUGCGUAACAGCUCACUGGUCGAGCGACAGGGCAUCAAUAAUAAUCGGGCAUCAAGUGUAGUACCGAAGCUUAGGAUUUUAUAUGGUAGGGGAGCAUUCUUUGUGCGGUGAAGAUUUGCUGUGAGGCAUUUUGGAGCGCAGAGAAGUGCAAAUGUAGGCAUAAGUAACGAUAAUGCGGGCGAGAAACCCGCACACCGAUAGACUAAGGUUUCCCCGGCAAUGCUAAUCAGCCGGGGGUUAGUCAGGACCUAAGGCGAACCCGAAAGGGGUAGUCGAUGGACAAUCAGUUAAUAUUCUGAUACCACUUUUAUUUUCGAUGGGGUGACGGAGUAGUGAAAGCACCGCGUACUGACGGAAUAGUACGUUAAAGAGUGUAGGUAUAGGUUUUGUAGGUAAAUCCGCAAGACUUGCCGAACUUGAUAGUACCACAAUCCUACGGGAGCGUGGAUAGUGUGCCUAAACAGACUUCCAAGAAAAACCUCUAAGGUAAGGAUAAAAGUGCCUGUACCGCAAACCGACACAGGUAGUCAAGGAGAGAAUCCUGAGGUGCUCGAGUGAUUCAUGGCUAAGGAACUAGGCAAAAUCGCCCUGUAACUUCGGGAGAAGGGGCGCCCCCACUUGUGGGGGCCGCAGUGAAAAGGCCCAGGCGACUGUUUAUCAAAAACACAUGGCUUUGCGAAAUCGAAAGAUGAGGUAUAAGGCCUGACACCUGCCCGGUGCUGGAAGGUUAAGGGGGGGAGUUAGCUUCGGCGAAGCUCUGAACUGAAGCCCCAGUAAACGGCGGCCGUAACUAUAACGGUCCUAAGGUAGCGAAAUUCCUUGUCGGGUAAGUUCCGACCUGCACGAAUGGUGCAACGAUCUGGGCACUGUCUCAGCCAUGAGCUCGGUGAAAUUGUAGUCGCGGUGAAGAUGCCGCGUACUCGCAACGGGACGAAAAGACCCCGUGCACCUUUACUAUAGCUUCACAUUGGUAUCGGGUAAAUGAUGUGUAGGAUAGGCGGGAGACUAUGAAGUUGCGUCGCUAGGCGUGGUGGAGUCAUUGGUGAAAUACCGCCCUUUAUUUAUCUGAUGCCUAAUCCGUAUUACGGAAACAGUGUGUGGUGGGUAGUUUGACUGGGGUGGUCGCCUCCAAAAAAGUAUCGGAGGCUUUCAAAGGUACCCUCAGCAUGUUUGGUAACCAUGCGUGGAGUGCAAUAGCAUAAGGGUGCUUGACUGUGAGACCUACAAGUCGAUCAGGUAGGAAACUAGGAUAUAGUGAUCCGGUGGUUCUGUAUGGAAGGGCCAUCGCUCAAAGGAUAAAAGGUACGCCGGGGAUAACAGGCUGAUCUCCCCCAAGAGCUCAUAUCGACGGGGAGGUUUGGCACCUCGAUGUCGGCUCGUCACAUCCUGGGGCUGGAGAAGGUCCCAAGGGUUGGGCUGUUCGCCCAUUAAAGUGGCACGCGAGCUGGGUUCAGAACGUCGUGAGACAGUUCGGUCUCUAUCUGUUGCGAGCGUAAGAAAUUUGAGUAGAUCUGACUUUAGUACGAGAGGACCGAGUUGGACUAACCGCUGGUGUACCAGUUGUCUCGCCAGGGGCAUUGCUGGGUAGCUACGUUGGGAAGGAUAGCGCUGAAAGCAUCUAAGCGCGAAACCACUACAGAUGAGAUUCUUUUAGAUGUAUAGAUGAUGACGU
rnacentral:rRNA from 1 species